rnacentral:rRNA from 1 species
GUGAGGAAUAUUGGACAAUGGAUGGAAAUCUGAUCCAGCCAUGCCGCGUGCAGGAAGACGGCCCUAUGGGUUGUAAACUGCUUUUAUACGGGAGCAAUAAGGUCUAUGCAUAGAUUGAUGAGAGUACCGUAUGAAUAAGCAUCGGCUAACUCCGUGCCAGCAGCCGCGGUAAUACGGAGGAUGCGAGCGUUAUCCGGAUUUAUUGGGUUUAAAGGGUGCGUAGGCGGCUUUGUAAGUCAGCGGUGAAAUUUUGCAGCUUAACUGUAAAAGCGCCGUUGAUACUGUGAAGCUAGGAUUUGGUUGCUGUGGGCGGAAUGUGUGGUGUAGCGGUGAAAUGCAUAGAGAUCACACAGAAUAUCGAUUGCGAAGGCAGCUCACAAAGCCAAUAUUGACGCUGAGGCACGAAAGUGUGGGGAUCAAACAGGAUUAGAAACCCGAGUAGUCC